GUUGACAAGGCAAUUCAACACUGCAAUGAAAAAUCCUCAAAGCAUGUUAAUUUCCUUGGCUUCCUUCCUGAUUCAGAGAAAUCUGAUCCAUUUUACAUUGAGCUUCACUUGAAAGUCACCACCUGCACAAAAACAGAAAAGACCACACAUCGAGAUGACUGCCCAUUUAUGGACCGAAGGCCAAAAAUCAACUGUGCUGUUUGCAAUAAAGGGAUUGAGUCCGGCCUCGAC